rnacentral:tRNA from 1 species
GUCUAUGUAGUAUAUUAAUUACACUGGUCUUGUAAACCAGAAAAGGGGAAAAACAA